rnacentral:rRNA from 1 species
UACGAAGGGGGCUAGCGUUGCUCGGAAUUACUGGGCGUAAAGCGCACGUAGGCGGUCUUUUAAGUCGGGGGUGAAAUCCUGGAGCUCAACUCCAGAACUGCCUUCGAUACUGGAAGACUUGAGUCCGGGAGAGGUGAGUGGAACUGCGAGUGUAGAGGUGAAAUUCGUAGAUAUUCGCAAGAACACCAGUGGCGAAGGCGGACUCACUGGCCCGG